UCUUGCACUUUGGCAGCAUACUGAUGAUCCAACUGACUAAUUACAACAGCAAACUUGAUGGAAUCAGACAUCACACUGGCACAAAGGAAACUUGCCUCAAACUGUAAUGUGGAGAUGAGGAGCCAGAACGUUGGUAGCAGUACUGCCAUCUCGAGAUUGCGGAUGCAUCUGCCUCCGACACGCGACUGUUAUUGAAUGCUAUGUUCUUGAGCCUUGUAAAUCGUAUCCUUGACCAUAAAUCAUGGCGGGGCCACCACUGUCACAAGUAUCACUGCAUGCGAGGAAUCACAAGAAACACGAGAGAAUAGAAUUAAUACACAGGAGGAAAACAAUUUGUUGACUGAAGCUAUGAGCAGAAGUUUAGUGUAUCCAAGACUGGAGGCAAUCAUUGGAGAACAAAUCUUUGAGCAUUUCUGCUGAGGGCAGGAGAGUAUAAUGGAAAAUCAACGGUGUAGGAUGAUAUGACAACUGUGCUGAACCACACGUUUUACUGGGCAUCCAGAUGUCAUGUAUCCUCUGACAG